UUACACAGCCCUGGCAACUGGCAUUACACAGCCAGGACAACUGACAUUACACUGCCCUGGCAACUGGCAUUACACAACCCUGGCAACUGGCAUUACACAGCCAGGGCAACUGACAUUACACAGCCCUGGCAACUGGCAUUACACAGCCCUGGCAAUGCAUGACACCCAUCCCAGAGCAUGAAAACACUUUGAACCAGCAUGGAACCCAGAGCAUGAAACCCCUGGCAAUCAGCAUGACACCCAGCGCAUGAAACCCUUGGCUAUAAGCAGUUCUGCUGAGUACACAUGAGUAGUCCAAAGUCCACUGUUGUGUAUCACUGCAAAAAAAUGCACGAAAGAGGAAAACUCUGCUCCCCUACUGAGAGCAACAGGAGACUGAUUAUGUCUCCAAAAGUACAAAUGGCGGCACACCACCAAAUCAGCAUGCUCUAUGCCUGUACACUCUAGAACACUAGUUCUUGGAUACAUCUCAGGUUGGGCAGCCUAAAAGAGUUAUUUUUUGCCUGAAGGUUGAAUAUAUGAGAGCGGACUCCUGCUUUGACCAUGAA